UGCAAGUUGAAGCGCUGAAGGAAGUUACUUGUAACUUUGGAAGAAGCAGCGAACGGGUGAGUAACGCGUGGGGAAUCUGCCUUUGAGCGGGGGACAACAUUUGGAAACGAAUGCUAAUACCGCAUAAUAGCUUUGGACAGAAGUCUGAAGUUUGAAAGAAACAACUGUUUCACUCAAAGAUGAUCCCGCGUUGGAUUAGCUAGUUGGUGAGGUAAAGGCUCACCAAGGCGAUGAUCCAUAGCCGACCUGAGAGGGUGAUCGGCCACAUUGGGACUGAGACACGGCCCAAACUCCUACGGGAGGCAGCAGUAGGGAAUCUUCGGCAAUGGGGGCAACCCUGACCGAGCAACGCCGCGUGAGUGAAGAAGGUUUUCGGAUCGUAAAGCUCUGUUGUGAGAGAAGAACGACAAAGAGAGUGGAAAGCUCUUUGUGUGACGGUAUCUCACCAGAAAGGGACGGCUAACUACGUGCCAGCAGCCGCGGUAAUACGUAGGUCCCGAGCGUUGUCCGGAUUUAUUGGGCGUAAAGCGAGCGCAGGUGGUUUAUUAAGUCUGGUGUAAAAGGCAGUGGCUCAACCAUUGUAUGCAUUGGAAACUGGUAGACUUGAGUGCAGGAGAGGAGAGUGGAAUUCCAUGUGUAGCGGUGAAAUGCGUAGAUAUAUGGAGGAACACCGGUGGCGAAAGCGGCUCUCUGGCCUGUAACUGACACUGAGGCUCGAAAGCGUGGGGAGCAAACAGGAUUAGAUACCCUGGUAGUCCACGCCGUAAACGAUGAGUG
rnacentral:rRNA from 1 species